rnacentral:rRNA from 1 species
GACGAACGCUGGCGGCGUGCUUAACACAUGCAAGUUGGACGGUGCGACAUGGAAGCUUGCUGAAGUGUUGUACAGUAGCGAACGGGUGAGUAAUGCAUGAGAAUCUGCCCUUUGGAGGGGGACAACAGCUGGAAACGGCUGCUAAUACCCCGUAAGCCGGGAGGUGAAAGGUACGCGAGUACUGCCGGGGGAUGAGCUCAUGUCCUAUCAGCUGGUUGGUGGGGUAACGGCCCACCAAGGCGACGACGGGUAGCCGGCCUGAGAGGGUGACCGGCCACACUGGAACUGAGACACGGUCAGACUCCUACGGGAGGCAGCAGUGAGGAAUAUGGUCAAUGGGCGCAAGCCUGAACCAGCCAUCCCGCGUGAAGGAAGAAUGCGCUACGCGUUGUAAACUUCUUUUCCAGGGGAGAAUAAUCCUGUCGUGACAGGACUUGACGGUACUCUGGGAAUAGCAUCGGCUAACUCCGUGCCAGCAGCCGCGGUAAAAGUGUA